rnacentral:rRNA from 1 species
GACGAACGCUGGCGGCGUGCUUAACACAUGCAAGUCGAACGGUAAGGCCCUUCGGGGUACACGAGUGGCGAACGGGUGAGUAACACGUGGGUGAUCUGCCCUGCACUUCGGGAUAAGCCUGGGAAACUGGGUCUAAUACCGGAUAGGACCACUGCCUGCAUGGGUGGUGGUGGAAAGCUUUUGCGGUGUGGGAUGGGCCCGCGGCCUAUCAGCUUGUUGGUGGGGUGAUGGCCUACCAAGGCGACGACGGGUAGCCGGCCUGAGAGGGUGACCGGCCACACUGGACCUAAGAUACGGCCCAGACUCCUACGGGAGGCAGCAGUGGGGAAUAUUGCACAAUGGGCGCAAGCCUGAUGCAGCGACGCCGCGUGAGGGAUGACGGCCUUCGGGUUGUAAACCUCUUUCAGCACCGACGAAGCGCAAGUGACGGUAGGUGCAGAAGAAGGACCGGCCAACUACGUGCCAGCCGCCGCCGUAA